ACAGUGGACGCGAGCAUCUUUGUUGUAAGUGUUUAAGAGCGUACGGUGGAUGCCUUGGCACCAGGAGCCGAUGAAGGACGUAGGAGGCUGCGAUAAGCCUCGGGGAGCUGUCAACCGAGCUGAGAUCCGAGGAUGUCCGAAUGGGGAAACCCAGCCACAGUGAUGUGUGGUUACCCGCGCCUGAAUAUAUAGGGCGUGUGGAGGGAACGUGGGGAAGUGAAACAUCUCAGUACCCACAGGAAGAGAAAACAACAUGUGAUUCCGUGAGUAGUGGCGAGCGAAAGCGGAAGAGGCUAAACCAUGGGUGUGUGAUAGCCGGCGGGCGUUGCAUUCGUGGGGUUGUGGGAUCCGUCUUGUCAAUUCUGCCGGAUUGGCCGACAGUGAGAAAUCAUCGUGUUAGUCGAAGUGGUCUGGAACGGCCUGUCGUAGAGGGUGAGAGUCCCGUAGACGAAAACAUGGUGACUGUCGUGACGGACACCCGAGUAGCAGCGGGCCCGUGAAAUCUGCUGUGAAUCUGUCGGGACCACCCGAUAAGCCUGAAUACUCCCUGGUGACCGAUAGCGGACUAGUACCGUGAGGGAAAGGUGAAAAGUACCCCGGGAGGGGAGUGAAAUAGUACCUGAAACCGUGCGCUUACAAUCCGUCAGAGCCUGCGCCACUUUGGUGGGUGGGUGAUGGCGUGCCUUUUGAAGAAUGAGCCUGCGAGUUAGCGGCAUGUCGCGAGGUUAACCCGUGUGGGGUAGCCGUAGCGAAAGCGAGUCCGAAUAGGGCGUUUGUAGUGGCAUGUUCUAGACCCGAAGCGGAGUGAUCUACCCAUGGCCAGGGUGAAGCGACGGUAAGACGUCGUGGAGGCCCGAACCCACUUAGGUUGAAAACUGAGGGGAUGAGCUGUGGGUAGGGGUGAAAGGCCAAUCAAACUCCGUGAUAGCUGGUUCUCCCCGAAAUGCAUUUAGGUGCAGCGUCGCGUGUUUCACUCUGGAGGUAGAGCUACUGGAUGGCCGAUGGGCCCCACAAGGUUACUGACGUCAGCCAAACUCCGAAUGCCAGAGUGUGAGAGCGCGGCAGUGAGACUGCGGGGGAUAAGCUUCGUAGUCGAGAGGGAAACAGCCCAGAUCGCCGGCUAAGGCCCCUAAGCGUGUACUAAGUGGAAAAGGAUGUGGGGUCGCGAAGACAACCAGGAGGUUGGCUUAGAAGCAGCCACCCUUGAAAGAGUGCGUAAUAGCUCACUGGUCAAGUGAUCCUGCGCCGACAAUGUAGCGGGGCUCAAGUACACCGCCGAAGCCGCGGCAUUCACAUAACACCCAUGCGGGUCUACGGGCCUGUGUGCAGUGGUGUGGAUGGGUAGGGGAGCGUCGUGCAGCCAUGGAAGCGCCGGAGUGAUCCAGGUGUGGAGGCUGCACGAGUGAGAAUGCAGGCAUGAGUAGCGAAAGACGAGUGAGAAACUCGUCCGCCGAAUGACCAAGGGUUCCUGGGCCAGGUUAAUCCGCCCAGGGUGAGUCGGGACCUAAGGCGAGGCCGACAGGCGUAGUCGAUGGACAACGGGUUGAUAUUCCCGUACCCGUGUGAACGCGCCCCUGGUGAAUCAGUGAUGCUAAGCGCCCUGAAGCCGCCUUCGAACCUUCGGGUUCUCCGGUGUGUGGAUGCGCGUGAACCGAUCUGGUAGUAGCCAAGCGAUGGGGUGACGCAGGAAGGUAGCUGAGCCAGUCAGUGGUAAUACUGGUGUAAGCGUGUAGGGCGUGACCUAGGCAAAUCCGGGUCACAUACAGCCUGAGACGUGAUGCGUAGCCGAUUGAGGCGAAUUCAGUGAUCCUAUGCUGCCGAGAAAAGCCUCUAGCGAGCUUUCACACGGCCCGUACCCCAAACCGACACAGGUGGUCAGGUAGAGAAUACUAAGGCGAUCGAGAUAACUGUGGUUAAGGAACUCGGCAAAAUGCCCCCGUAACUUCGGGAGAAGGGGGGCCUCGUCUGGUGACGGAACUUGCUUCCUGAGCUGGGUGGGGCCGCAGAGACCAGAGAGAAGCGACUGUUUACUAAAAACACAGGUCCGUGCGAAGUCGUAAGACGAUGUAUACGGACUGACGCCUGCCCGGUGCUGGAAGGUUAAGAGGACCGGUUAGCCAGUAAUGGCGAAGCUGAGAAUUUAAGCCCCAGUAAACGGCGGUGGUAACUAUAACCAUCCUAAGGUAGCGAAAUUCCUUGUCGGGUAAGUUCCGACCUGCACGAAUGGCGUAACGACUUCUCUGCUGUCUCAACCACAGACUCGGCGAAAUUGCAUUACGAGUAAAGAUGCUCGUUACGCGCGGCAGGACGAAAAGACCCCGGGACCUUCACUAUAGCUUGGUAUUGGUGUUCGGUUCGGUUUGUGUAGGAUAGGUGGGAGACUGUGAAGCGGGCACGCCAGUGUUCGUGGAGUCGUUGUUGAAAUACCACUCUGAUCGUAUUGGACAUCUAACCUCGGACCAUGAUCUGGUUCAGGGACAGUGCCUGGUGGGUAGUUUAACUGGGGCGGUUGCCUCCCAAAAUGUAACGGAGGCGCCCAAAGGUUCCCUCAGCCUGGUUGGCAAUCAGGUGUCGAGUGCAAGUGCACAAGGGAGCUUGACUGUGAGACUGACAGGUCGAGCAGGGACGAAAGUCGGGACUAGUGAUCCGGCACCGGCAAGUGGAAGCGGUGUCGCUCAACGGAUAAAAGGUACCCCGGGGAUAACAGGCUGAUCUUCCCCAAGAGUCCAUAUCGACGGGAUGGUUUGGCACCUCGAUGUCGGCUCGUCGCAUCCUGGGGCUGGAGUAGGUCCCAAGGGUUGGGCUGUUCGCCCAUUAAAGCGGCACGCGAGCUGGGUUUAGAACGUCGUGAGACAGUUCGGUCUCUAUCCGCCGCGCGCGUUAGAAACUUGAGGAAGGCUGUCCCUAGUACGAGAGGACCGGGACGGACGAACCUCUGGUGUGCCAGUUGUUCCGCCAGGAGCACUGCUGGUUAGCUACGUUCGGAAGGGAUAACCGCUGAAAGCAUCUAAGCGGGAAGCCUGUUCCAAGAUGAGGUUUCUCACCCCUCGAGGGGGUAAGGCCCGGCAGACCACCGGG
rnacentral:rRNA from 1 species